AAUCGGCUCCGGAAUCGAUUCCGUAAUCGACUCCGGAAUCGGAAUCGGUUCCGGAAUCAAAAUCGGCUCUCGAAUCAGAAUUUGCUCCAAAAUUUGAAUCGGCUUUCAAACGGAGUCAGUUUCGGCAUCGCCAUAAAAAUAGGCGUUUUGGUCCAAUCAUACUACGUAUUGAUAACCGCAAAAAAAUCAAAAUUUACUUUUAAAAGAUCCUUUCUCAUGGAGAUUCCCGGACUGAUUUCGAUUCUAAAACUUUUUUUUUCAAUUGUGGAACUAAUUCACAUUCCGGAGCUAAUUCUAAUUCGGAAGUCAAUUAUGAGUCCGUAAUAGGGGCAAAUUGCGAUUCCUAGGUCAAUUCCGAUUUCGGAGCCGAUACUGAUCGCGGAAUCGAUUCCGGAGCCGACUCGGGAAUAGGCUCCGUAGUCAACUUCGGGAUCGGCUCCGAAGUCCAAUCUGGAAAGUAUCUAGUCUAGUUUGAUUGUUUUUAUAUCACACACUAGAACAUUUAUCUCAUAGAACACUUACACAUUAAAACUUAUCAAGUAGUAAAAAAGCGAUACGUUCUGACCAACGGUCGAGGAAGAAGACGGAUACUCAACCUGAGAACCCUAUCACUCACGGAGCUCACGUCAUCAACGUGACUGUUUCUUGACACUUGUAAGCGACGUAUUGGCGAUGCACACAAAGCUCCUAACAAUAAAUUACAAACAAUUAUCAAAUUUGAUAUGUUAUAUAUAAUUAUGCAAUUUUCCUAAUUCUAGUAAGUUUGCACUUACUCAAAAAAAAAUCAAGAAUUUUGUAAACAAGAUUCAACAAUUCAACCAACUGAAUUCAAUGACGCGCAAUGCUUUCAAUCAACAAAGUUCCGUUUAAUCAACACGAUUGCCCAUCGAACCAAUCAUUGUAAUUAAAUAUCAAUUCCACGAACUUAAAACACAAGACUGUACUGUGUAAAAGGAAACAUCCGAACAAGCAUCGAUAAAUAAAGUCAAUAAAAACUUGCUUGUCUUACGGUCGGGCACGCAAAAUUUGCUGCCGUUUCUUCGAUUCGCAUUGUUUUGCACGACAGUCGUGAGAUGCAAGCGAAUUCCAAGCCAUUCCAAGAACACUGCAAACCGGCAAAGCGGUGGCACAUUGUUGCAACAGCCUCGACCACAGUGACAAUACAAAAUGAACGAGACGGGAAAGCAUCACGUGAAGAGACACCAAGGGGGACUAUCAACGAGCACUAUUACUAGCUGGAUUACUGGACCGGAGGACCAUACUACCGUACGGAGCUAGGAUGAAGCUGUACCCGUUGCAUUCGUUGAUUUUGCUUCUGCUACCAAUUCUAGCGAUACGUUCCUUUACAACAUUUUCUUAAUUUUAAUGCUUCUCGCGUUUUACCGCAUCGCCAGACACUCGGCACGCGAUUGCACUUUUGCUUUUUCUGUUCUGCCUUUUUUCUUCUUCUUCUUUUGGUAUAAACCUUAUCCCAUCGCACCAGC